rnacentral:rRNA from 1 species
GACGAACGCUGGCGGCGUGCUUAACACAUGCAAGUCGAACGGAAAGGCCCUGAUUUUGUGGGGUGCUCGAGUGGCGAACGGGUGAGUAACACGUGAGUAACCUGCCCUUGACUUUGGGAUAACUUCAGGAAACUGGGGAUAAUACCGGAUAGGAGCUCCUGCUGCAUGGUGGGGGUUGGAAAGUUUCGGCGGUUGGGGCUGGACUCGCGGCUUAGCAGCUUGUGGGUGGGGUAGUGGCUUACCAAGGCUUUGACGGGUAGCCGGCCUGAGAGGGUGACCGGCCACAUUGGGACUGGGAUGCGGCCCAGACGCCUACGGGAGGCAGCGGUGGGGAAUAUUGCGCGAUGGGCGGAAGCCUGAUGCAGCGACGCCGCGUGCGGGAUGACGGCCUUCGGGUUGUAAACCGCUUUCGCCUGUUACGAAGCGUGAGUGACGGUAAUGGGUAAAGAAGCACCGGCUAACUACGUG